GGAGCUGUGCCUGAAGCCAAAGGGCCACUUUGAUAGAGUGAACCAUGGGGGUUAGAGUCCCCCCAACUCCU
rnacentral:tRNA from 1 species